rnacentral:misc_RNA from 1 species
AAGAUCUCGAAUCUUGUAAUUUCAAGUUGUUUCUAUUUGGCCUCCGUGCUUGUAGUAGGUACCAAGAAUUGUACCAAGCAGAAGUCUUUACCUGAGAGGGUACCCCCAGCAUUUUCAAAUGGUAUAUGCAGAAGGAAAUGGUAUAGAUUUGGAGAAUGAAACAUGAAGGCUUAAUAAACUUGCACAAAAAAGGUUCCUAAAAAAUCAAAUUUCUUUAUUCUUUUGUAUUGUUUUCUGUAGCAAUAGCAGAACCAAAUUGAGCAAAGAGAAGAUUGGUUGUUUAUCUAUUAUUGAGAUAUCUCAAGAUAUGAAAGUUAUGAGAAAUAUUUCUCGCUGUAAGUGUAAAACUAGAAAUUU